rnacentral:rRNA from 1 species
GACGAACGCUGGCGGCGUGCUUAACACAUGCAAGUCGAACGGAAAGGCCCUGCUUUUGUGGGUUGCUCGAGUGGCGAACGGGUGAGUAACACGUGAGUAACCUGCCCUUGACUUUGGGAUAACUUCAGGAAACUGGGGCUAAUACCGGAUAGGAGCUCCUGCUGCAUGGUGGGGGUUGGAAAGUUUCGGCGGUUGGGGAUGGACUCGCGGCUUAUCAGCUUGUUGGUGGGGUAGUGGCUUACCAAGGCUUUGACGGGUAGCCGGCCUGAGAGGGUGACCGGCCACCUUGGGACUGCGAUACCGCCCAGACUCCUACGGGAGGCAGCAGUGCGGAAUAUUGCACAAUGGGCGGAAGCCUGAUGCAGCAACGCCGCGUGCGGGAUGACGGCCUUCGGGUUGUAAACCGCUUUCGCCUGUGACGAAGCGUGAGUGACGGUAAUGGGUAAAGAAGCACCGGCUCACUACGUG